GCCUCGGUGGCGCAGUGGCUAGCGCAGCUGAUUUGUAAUCAGCCGGUCGUCGGUUCGAAUCCGACCCGAGGCUCCA
rnacentral:tRNA from 1 species